UCCCUGGUAGCUUAGCAGGUUAAAGAGUCUGCCUGCAAUGCAGGAGACCCUGGUUCGAUUCCUGGGUUGGGAA
rnacentral:tRNA from 1 species